GAGUUUGAUCCUGGCUCAGAUUGAACGCUGGCGGCAGGCCUAACACAUGCAAGUCGAGCGGAAACGAGUUAACUGAACCUUCGGGGAACGUUAACGGCGUCGAGCGGCGGACGGGUGAGUAAUGCCUGGGAAAUUGCCCUGAUGUGGGGGAUAACCAUUGGAAACGAUGGCUAAUACCGCAUAAUAGCUUCGGCUCAAAGAGGGGGACCUUCGGGCCUCUCGCGUCAGGAUAUGCCCAGGUGGGAUUAGCUAGUUGGUGAGGUAAUGGCUCACCAAGGCGACGAUCCCUAGCUGGUCUGAGAGGAUGAUCAGCCACACUGGAACUGAGACACGGUCCAGACUCCUACGGGAGGCAGCAGUGGGGAAUAUUGCACAAUGGGCGCAAGCCUGAUGCAGCCAUGCCGCGUGUAUGAAGAAGGCCUUCGGGUUGUAAAGUACUUUCAGCAGUGAGGAAGGUGGGUAUGUUAAUAGCAUACUCAUUUGACGUUAGCUGCAGAAGAAGCACCGGCUAACUCCGUGCCAGCAGCCGCGGUAAUACGGAGGGUGCGAGCGUUAAUCGGAAUUACUGGGCGUAAAGCGCAUGCAGGUGGUUUGUUAAGUCAGAUGUGAAAGCCCGGGGCUCAACCUCGGAAUUGCAUUUGAAACUGGCAAACUAGAGUACUGUA
rnacentral:rRNA from 1 species